UACGGAGGGGCAAGCGUUGUUCGGAAUUACUGGGCGUAAAGGGCGCGCAGGCGGCUGCUCAAGUCAGGCGUGAAAGGCCUGGGCUCAACCCGGGAAUUGCGCUUGAGACUGGGCUGGCUUGAGUGCGGGAGAGGAUGGUGGAAUUCCAGUGUAGAGGUGAAAUUCGUAGAUAUUGGGAAGAACACCGGUGGCGAAGGCGGCCAUCUGGACCGCAACUGACGCUGAG
rnacentral:rRNA from 1 species